GUGUCAGCAGCCGCGGUAAUACGGAGGGGGCUAGCGUUGUUCGGAAUUACUGGGCGUAAAGCGCACGUAGGCGGAUUAGUAAGUUGGGGGUGAAAUCCCAGGGCUCAACCCUGGAACUGCCUUCAAAACUACUAGUCUUGAGUUCGAGAGAGGUGAGUGGAAUUCCGAGUGUAGAGGUGAAAUUCGUAGAUAUUCGGAGGAACACCAGUGGCGAAGGCGGCUCACUGGCUCGAUACUGACGCUGAGGUGCGAAAGCGUGGGGAGCAAACAGGAUUAGAUACCCCCGUAGUCC
rnacentral:rRNA from 1 species